rnacentral:rRNA from 1 species
AGAGCCGCAGUAUUUUGACUGUGCGAAGGUAGCAUAAUAAUUUGUCUUUUAAAUGGAGGCUGGAAUGAAUGGCUGGACAAAGUAUCUCCUGUUUCUUAAAUAAAUAUUGAAUUUGACUUUUAAGUGAAAAGGCUUAAAUAAAUUAAAAAGACGAUAAGACCCUAUAAAUCUUUACAAAAGGCGUGUUUUAAGUUUUAGUUUAAAUGUAAUAGAGUAUAAAACAUGAUUUUGUUGCGCUGGGGCGGCGUAGAUAUAUAAGAAAACUGUUUAUAAGAUGUAAACAAUUAUUAUUGAUUAGAUGAAAUUGAUCCUUAUUUAGAUUAAAAGAUUAAGAUACUUUAGGGAUAACAGCGUUAUUUUUUCUGAGAGUUCUUAUCGAAGAGAAAGAUUGCGACCUCGAUGUUGAAUUAAAGUUUCUUUAAGGUGUAGUGGCUUUAAAAGAGAGUCUGUUCGACUUUUAAUACUUUACAUGAUUUGAG